UCCUACGGGAGGCAGCAGUAGGGAAUCUUCCGCAAUGGACGAAAGUCUGACGGAGCAACGCCGCGUGAGUGAUGAAGGCUUUCGGGUCGUAAAACUCUGUUGUUAGGGAAGAACAAGUGCUAGUUGAAUAAGCUGGCACCUUGACGGUACCUAACCAGAAAGCCACGGCUAACUACGUGCCAGCAGCCGCGGUAAUACGUAGGUGGCAAGCGUUAUCCGGAAUUAUUGGGCGUAAAGCGCGCGCAGGUGGUUUCUUAAGUCUGAUGUGAAAGCCCACGGCUCAACCGUGGAGGGUCAUUGGAAACUGGGAGACUUGAGUGCAGAAGAGGAAAGUGGAAUUCCAUGUGUAGCGGUGAAAUGCGUAGAGAUAUGGAGGAACACCAGUGGCGAAGGCGACUUUCUGGUCUGUAACUGACACUGAGGCGCGAAAGCGUGGGGAGCAAACAGGAUUAGAUACCCUGGUAGUCCACGCCGUAAACGAUGAGUGCUAAGUGUUAGAGGGUCUCCGCCCCUUAGUGCUGAAGUUAACGCAUUAAGCACUCCGCCUGGGGAGUACGGCCGCAAGGCUGAAACUCAAAGGAAUUGACGGA
rnacentral:rRNA from 1 species